rnacentral:rRNA from 1 species
AUUGAACGCUGGCGGCAGGCCUAACACAUGCAAGUCGAACGAGUGGCGGACGGGUGAGUAAUGUCUGGGAAACUGCCUGAUGGAGGGGGAUAACUACUGGAAACGGUAGCUAAUACCGCAUACUAUCAGAUGAGCCUAGGUCGGAUUAGCUAGUUGGUGGGGUAACGGCCAACCAAGGCGACGAUCCGUAACUGGUCUGAGAGGAUGAUCAGUCACACGGGAACGAGGCAACGUCCCAGACUCCUACGUGGGGCAGCAGUGGGGAAUAUUGUACAAUGGGCGAAAGCCUGAUCCAGCCAUGCCGCUGGUGUGAAAAGGGUCUUCGGAUUGUAAAGCAUGUUAAGUUGGGAGGCGUUACCAACAGAAUAAGCACCGGUUAACACCGUGCCAGCAGCCGCGUAAUUC